AUGUGCUCCCAUGUGCGUGUUCUUCCCACGUGUGUGUGCUCCCAUGUGUUCUUCUCAUGUGCAUGUGCUCCCACGUGCUUGUUCUUCUCAUGUGUGUGCUCCCAUGUGUGUUCUUCCCAUGUGUGUGUUUUCCUGUGUGUUCUUCCCAUGUGUGUGUUUUCCCGUGUGUUCUUCUCAGGUGUGUGCGCUCCUGUGUGUUCUUCUCAGGUGUGUGUGCUCCUGUGUGUUCUUCUCAUGUGCGUGUGCUCCUGUGUGUUCUUCUCAUGUGUGUGUGCUUCCGUGUGUGUGCUUCUCAUGUGUGUGUGCUCCCGUGUGUGUGCUUCUCAUGUGUGUGCGCUCCUGUGUGUUCUUCUCAUGUGCAUGUGCUCCUGUGUGUUCUUCUCAUGUGUGUGUGCUUCCAUGUGUGUGCUUCUCAUGUGUGUGUUUUCCCGUGUGUUCUUCUCAGGUGUGUGUGCUCCUGUGUGUUCUUCUCAUGUGUGUGUGCUCCUGUGUGUUCUUCUCAUGUGUGUGUGCUUCCGUGUGUGUGCUUCUCAUGUGUGUGUGCUCCCGUGUGUGUGCUUCUCAUGUGUGUGCUCCUGUGUGUUCUUCUCAUGUGUGUGCUCCCACGUGUGUUCUUCCCAUGUAUGUGUUCUCCCGUGUGUUCUUCCCAUGUGUGUGCUCCAUGUGUUCUUCCCAUGUGUGUGCACUCCCGUGUAUGUGCUUCUCAUGUGCGUGUGCUUCUGUGUGCAUGUUCAUUUCAUAUGGAUGUGCUCCCACGUGUGUACUCUUUUCAUGUGGAUGUGCUCCAUGUGUAUGUUCUUAUCAUGUGCAUGUGCUCCGUGUGCAUGUUCGUCUCUUGUGGAUGUGCUCCCAUGUGUGCUCUCUUCUCAUGUAGAUGUGUUCUAUAUGUGUUUUCUUUUCAUGUGUGUGUGCUCCAAUAUGCAUGCUCUUCUCAUGUGUAUGUGCUCCAAGUGUGUGUUCUUCUCAUGUGCGUGUGCUCCAUGUGCGUGCUCUUCUCAUGUGCAUGUGUCCCCAUGUGCAUGCUCCUGCAUGUGCACAUGUACUCCAGUUCCAUAUGUUUCAUACACCCACAGGUUCCUUGGGAGUGACAACCAGGACACCUUCUUCUCCAACACCCAGAGGCACCAGAUUGUGAGUGGGGGGUCCCUGCUGUGGGCCCCCAGCCCUGCCUGGCUCUGA
rnacentral:lncRNA from 1 species